GAUGAACGCUAGCUACAGGCUUAACACAUGCAAGUCGAGGGGAAACGACAUCGAAAGCUUGCUUUUGAUGGGCGUCGACCGGCGCACGGGUGAGUAACGCGUAUCCAACCUGCCCAUCACUUGGGAAUAACCUUGCGAAAGUAAGACUAAUACCCAAUGACAUCCCACGAAGACAUCUGAAUGGGAUUAAAGAUUUAUCGGUGCUGGAUGGGGAUGCGUCUGAUUAGCUUGUUGGCGGGGUAACGGCCCACCAAGGCAACGAUCAGUAGGGGUUCUGAGAGGAAGGUCCCCCACAUUGGAACUGGGACACGGUCCAAACUCCUACGGGAGGCAGCAGUGAGGAAUAUUGGUCAAUGGGCGAGAGCCUGAACCAGCCAAGUAGCGUGCAGGAUGACGGCCCUAUGGGUUGUAAACUGCUUUUAUAAGGGAAUAAAGUGGGUCUCGUGAGACUUUUUGCAUGUACCUUAUGAAUAAGGACCGGCUAAUUCCGUG
rnacentral:rRNA from 1 species